rnacentral:rRNA from 1 species
AACGAACGCUGGCGGCAUGCCUAACACAUGCAAGUCGAACGAGACCUUCGGGUCUAGUGGCGCACGGGUGCGUAACGCGUGGGAACCUGCCUUUAGGUUCGGAAUAACUCAGAGAAAUUUGAGCUAAUACCGGAUAAUGUCUUCGGACCAAAGAUUUAUCGCCUUUAGAUGGGCCCGCUUGGAUUAGCUAGUUGGUGGGGUAAAGGCCUACCAAGGCGACGAUCGAUAGCUGGUCUGAGAGGAUGAUCAGCCACACUGGGACUGAGACACGGCCCAGACUCCUAC